UGCCAGGCGCAGCGCAAUGAUCGCUUGUGAACCAUGUCAGAUCAGGAAUGAAGCAGCAUUAAGCAAUGUGGGUCGUGUGUCGCUGUCAGCCUGGCUUUG
rnacentral:SRP_RNA from 1 species